rnacentral:misc_RNA from 1 species
CAGAGUUGAAAAACUCCAACCCCUGUGAACCUUACCAUUACUGUUGCUUCGGCGGACGAAAGGCCCCCCGGGGCCAGACGCCGCCGGAGGUUCCAAACUCUGAAUCUUUGUGUAUCUCUGAGGAAAAAAAAAACCAAUAAUUA